rnacentral:tRNA from 1 species
GCCCCGUUAGCUCAGUUGGUUAGAGCAGCGGACUUUUAAUCCGCGGGUCGUCGGUUCGAGCCCGACACGGGGUA